UACGGGGGGGGCAAGCGUUGUUCGGAAUUACUGGGCGUAAAGGGCUCGUAGGCGGCCAACUAAGUCGGACGUGAAAUCCCUCGGCUUAACCGAGGAAGUGCAUUCGAAACUGACGGUCUUGAGUAUGGAAGAGGGUCGCGGAAUUCCCGGUGUAGAGGUGAAAUUCGUAGAUAUCGGGAGGAACACCAGUGGCGAAGGCGGCGACCUGGGCCAAUACUGACGCUGAGGUGCGAAAGCGUGGGGAGCAAACAGG
rnacentral:rRNA from 1 species